UAAUACGAAGGGGGCUAGCGUUGUUCGGAUUUACUGGGCGUAAAGCGCACGUAGGCGGAUUGUUAAGUCAGGGGUGAAAUCCCGGAGCUCAACUCCGGAACUGCCUUUGAUACUGGCAAUCUUGAGGCUGGAAGAGGUUGGUAGAAUUCCCAGUGUAGAGGUGAAAUUCGUAGAUAUUGGGAAGAAUACCAGUGGCGAAGGCGGCCAACUGGUCCAGAUCUGACGCUGAGGUGCGAAAGCGUGGGGAGCAAACAGG
rnacentral:rRNA from 1 species